rnacentral:rRNA from 1 species
CGGGCGGCGUGCUAUACAUGCAAGUCGAACGCAAUCUUUAGACUACAUGAGUGCUUGCACUCAGCAGGUUCAAAGUGCGAGUGGCGAACGGGUGAGUAACACGUGGGCAAUCUGCCCAAAAGUGGGGGAUAACACUUGGAAACAGGUGCUAAUACCGCAUCAACCGGCUGACCGCAUGGUCGGCCGGGCAAAGACGGCGUCAGCUGUCGCUUUUGGAUGAGCCCGCGGCGUAUUAACUAGUUGGUAAGGUAACGGCUUACCAAGGUGAUGAUACGUAGCCGAACUGAGAGGUUGAUCGGCCACAUUGGGACUGAGACACGGCCCAAACUCCUACGGGAGGCAGCAGUAGGGAAUCUUCCACAAUGGACGCAAGUCUGAUGGAGCAACGCCGCGUGUAUGAAGAAGGUCUUCGGAUCGUAAAAUACUGUUGUCAGAGAAGAACACGUGAUAGAGUAACUGCUAUGGCGCUGACGGUAUCUGACCAGCAAGUCACGGCUAACUACGUGCCAGCAGCCGCGGUAAUACGUAGGUGGCAAGCGUUGUCCGGAUUUAUUGGGCGUAAAGGGAACGCAGGCGGUCUUUUAAGUCUGAUGUGAAAGCCUUCGGCUUAACCGGAGAAGUGCAUUGGAAACUGGAAGACUUGAGUGCAGAAGAGGAGAGUGGAACUCCAUGUGUAGCGGUGAAAUGCGUAGAUAUAUGGAAGAACACCAGUGGCGAAAGCGGCUCUCUGGUCUGUAACUGACGCUGAGGUUCGAAAGCGUGGGGAGCGAACAGGAUUAGAUACCCUGGUAGUCCACGCUGUAAACGAUGAAUGCUAGGUGUUGGAGGGUUUCCGCCCUUCGGUGCCGCAGCUAACGCACUAAGCAUUCCGCCUGGGGAGUACGAUCGCAAGAUUGAAACUCAAAGGAAUUGACGGGGGCCCGCACAAGCGGUGGAGCAUGUGGUUUAAUUCGAAGCAACGCGAAGAACCUUACCAGGUCUUGACAUCUUUUGACCAUC